rnacentral:rRNA from 1 species
GGGGAACUUUGGACAAUGGGCGCAAGCCUGAUCCAGCCAUGCCGCGUGUCUGAAGAAGGCCUUCGGGUUGUAAAGGACUUUUGUCAGGGAAGAAAAGGCUGUUGCUAAUAUCGACAGUUGAUGACGGUACCUGAAGAAUAAGCACCGGCUAACUACGUGCCAGCAGCCGCGGUAAUACGUAGGGUGCGAGCGUUAAUCGGAAUUACUGGGCGUAAAGCGAGCGCAGACGGUUACUUAAGCAGGAUGUGAAAUCCCCGGGCUCAACCUGGGAACUGCGUUCUGAACUGGGUGACUAGAGUGUGUCAGAGGGAGGUAGAAUUCCACGUGUAGCAGUAAAAUGCGUAGAGAUGUGGAGGAAUACCGAUGGCGAAGGCAGCCUCCUGGGAUAACACUGACGUUCAUGCUCGAAAGCGUGGGUAGCAAACAGGAUUAGAUACCCUGGUAGUCCACGCCCUAAACGAUGUCAAUUAGCUGUUGGGCAACUUGAUUGCUUAGUAGCGUAGCUAACGCGUGAAAUUGACCGCCUGGGGAGUACGGUCGCAAGAUUA